ensembl:miRNA gmo-mir-430e-1 gmo-mir-430e-1
ACCUGAAAUAGAGGCAUUGGUGGUAAUUUGAUUCCAUAAGUGCUCCCUUUGGGGUUG